rnacentral:rRNA from 1 species
UAAGCAAAGCAUUAAAGCACACGGCUCAACCGUGUAAAUGUGUUUGAACUGGCAAGCUAGAGUAUGGGAGAGGUCACUGGAAUUUCUUGUGUAGGAGUGAAAUCCGUAGAUAUAAGAAGGAACACCGAUGGCGUAGGCAGGUGACUGGCCCAUUACUGACGCUAAGGCACGAAAGCGUGGGGAGCGAACGGGAUUAGAUACCCCGGUAGUCCACGCCGUAAACUAUGGAUGCUA